rnacentral:misc_RNA from 1 species
AAGUCGUAACAAGGUUUCCGUAGGUGAACCUGCGGAAGGAUCAUUAACACGUAUCCAACGUUAAACCCCCCGUGAACCUUCAGAGCGUUCUUGCCGCCCGUGACAAUCAGCAAUCCUGGUAAAUCAAGUGGGAAUAUCCGUUAUUGAUUCAGGACCUCUGCUGUCAUGUGUUAGGGAAACCAUAGCGGCAAUUGAGAGCUUUUAUCGUUAGUUUGGCGUCCUGGCCGGGCGAGUGAAAGUGUCGCUAGACGGUUUCUAGGGUAAGGCUUCGCCAUCGCUGGAGGCUCACCACGUAGCCGGCGGACAAACUACAGGGCUAUAUGCCCCCUAAUGACGACCAAGUUAAAUAGGGCCUUUGUCACAUAGCAAGUGCGCCGUGCCAGAGGAAAAGUACAACUGUUAACAAUGGAUAUCUUGGUUCUC